rnacentral:rRNA from 1 species
CGCGGCGAACGGGUGAGAAACGCGUGAGAAUUUACCUUUUGGAAGGGGACAACCAAUAGAAAUUUUGGCUAAAACCCUAUAUGCCGCAAGGUGAAAAAUGCAAAUUGCCAAAAGAGAAGCUCGCGUCUGAUUAGCUAGUUGGUAGGGUAAUGGCCUCCCAAGGCGACGAUCAGUAGCUGGUUUUAGAGGAUGAUCAGCCACACUGGAACUGAGACACGGUCCAGACUCCUACGGGAGGCAGCAGUGAGGAAUUUUCUGCAAUGGGCGAAAGCCUGACAGAGCAAUACCGCGUGAGGGAGGAAGGCCUACGGGUUGUAAACCUCUUUUCUCAAGGAGGAAGUACUGACGUUACUUGAGGAAUGAGCAUCGACUAACCCUGUGCCAGCAGCCGCGGUAAGACAGGGGAUGCAAGUGUUAUCCGGAAUCAUUGGGCGUAAAGCGUCUGCAGGUGGAGACUUCAGUCUUUUGUUAAAACUCUUGGCUUAACCAGGAAUCCGCAAAAGAAACUAUUUCUCUUGAGUAUGGUAGAGGUAAAGGGAAUUUUCAGUGGAGCGGUGAAAUGUGUAGAGAUUGAAAAGAACACCAAAAGCGAAAGCACUUUACUGGGCCAUUACUGACACUGAGAGACGAAAGCUAAGGGAGCAAACAGGAUUAGAUACCCUGGUAGUCUUAGCUGUAAACGAUGGAUACUAGAUGUUG